UACGAAGGGGGCUAGCGUUGCUCGGAAUCACUGGGCGUAAAGGGUGCGUAGGCGGGCUCGUCAGUCGGGGGUGAAAUCCCACGGCCCAACCGCGGAAGUGCCUCCGAUACUGCGGACCUGGAGGGGGAUAGGGGCGUGCGGAACUUCCGGUGGAGCGGUGAAAUGCGUAGAUAUCGGAAGGAACACCGGUGGCGAAAGCGGCGACGCUGGAUCCCGUACUGACGCUGAGGCACGAAAGCCAGGGGAGCAAACCGGGGAUUAGAAUGAACCCUUGUAGUACCCCUAGGAACCAACGUCU
rnacentral:rRNA from 1 species